rnacentral:miRNA from 1 species
UAUUAGGUUGGUGCAAAAGUAAUUGUGGGUUUUGCCAUUACUUAAAAUGGUGAAAACCACAAUUACUUUUGCACCAAACUAAUAAA